rnacentral:rRNA from 1 species
ACGAACGCUGGCGGCGUGCUUAACACAUGCAAGUCGAACGGACUCCAUUCAGUAGCAAUACUGAGGAAGAGUUAGUGGCGAACGGGUGAGUAACACGUGAGAAACCUAUCCUGGUCUCUGGGAUAACAGUCGGAAACAACUGCUAAUACCGGAUGCCGUCGGAGCGUCGCAUGGCGCGCUGACGAAAGGGUUACUGGAUCAGGAGGGUCUCGCGGCCUAUCAGCUAGUUGGUGGGGUAAAGGCCUACCAAGGCAUCGACGGGUAGCUGGUCUGAGAGGAUGAUCAGCCACACUGGGACUGAGACACGGCCCAGACUCCUACGGGAGGCAGCAGUGGGGAAUCUUGCGCAAUGGGCGAAAGCCUGACGCAGCAACGCCGCGUGCGGGAAGAAGGCCUUCGGGUUGUAAACCGCUUUCAGAAGGAACGAAACUGACGGUACUUUCAGAAGAAGGUGCGGCCAACUACGU